UACGUAGGGUGCGAGCGUUAAUCGGAAUUACUGGGCGUAAAGCGUGCGCAGGCGGUUCUUUAAGACCGAUGUGAAAUCCCCGGGCUUAACCUGGGAACUGCAUUGGUGACUGCAGGGCUAGAGUGUGUCAGAGGGAGGUGGAAUUCCGCGUGUAGCAGUGAAAUGCGUAGAGAUGCGGAGGAACACCGAUGGCGAAGGCAGCCUCCUGGGAUAACACUGACGCUCAGGCACGAAAGCGUGGGGAGCAAACAGG
rnacentral:rRNA from 1 species